rnacentral:rRNA from 1 species
UACGUAGGGGGCAAGCGUUGUCCGGAAUCAUUGGGCGUAAAGAGCGCGUAGGCGGCCCUGUAAGUCCGCUGUGAAAGUCAAGGGCUCAACCCUUGGAUGCCGGUGGAUACUGCAGGGCUAGAGUCCGGAAGAGGCGAGUGGAAUUCCUGGUGUAGCGGUGAAAUGCGCAGAUAUCAGGAGGAAUACCGGUGGCGAAGGCGGCAUCCUGGACCAUAACUGACGCUGAGGCGCGAAAGCUAGGGGAGCAAACGGG